AUGAGCAGCAAUGAGGGCAGAAGAGAAGAUGUUCUUGGUCCCCUUGAUCCCUGGCUUUGCACCAGCACACCAGCUGAAGUGGCAGGCCAGCAAAGGAGAAGUUGUCCCAGCUCAGCUGAUGAAUCAGAGUUUGUCAUUUCUGUUGUAAACUUGGGGCUGGAAUGGAUCCAAGCAACCAUUUUCAGCCCUUUUCAAAGUGAUAAUUUGAUUAAAGCCCUUGCAGAAAGGGCAUGCAUCUGCCUUCACCCUCUGCAGCCUCUGUAGUGUCUGCUCUGGAGCUAACAAUUCCAGGUCGAACUGUGUGCUUCCACACAUCUUAUAAUCAAGAAGGUUCACUUGUCCCAUAGCUCAGAUCCCAUUAUCUCUCAGAAUGUUUUUAUAGAGAAGAUAUUGGAAUCCUUAGAAGGCAGUGUCCCAUCCCAUCCCAUCCCAUCCCGUCGUCCGUCCCCCUCCCCCCUGGAAAGCAUACAUUUUUCUUGUCUUUCAGAAGCUUAUUGCCAACAAAGAAACUCAGGUUUCAGCUAUUCAAAAAUGAAACUAAAAAAGACAUUGAAAAACUGUGAAAAAACAAACAAAGCUGUACCGACUAUCUAGAAACAUUUCUUGAGUCAGAAAUAACACACUGGAUGACAAAGAGCGUGUAAACCUUUCCCAUCUCUGAGGAAGAGAAUUUCUUUUCCCAGGAAUGCAACAAUAUUCCUAGAAAUUCAGAGGAGAUACUUGAAAUCUGUGCAAGUGGUGAUGUUUUUGCCUUUGCGAAUGCUUUCACUUGGGUCAGUGAUCUAUGACUGGAGUCAGGCCUGUCUGGUAAACUGAAGGACACAAGGAAGGAAACGAGGUAGGAUUAGGCUCCUAAAUCCCUCAGAUGAGACAAUUUAUAUGGAUGCUGGAAUCAGACAGAUGAAAGCUGCCCAAUCUGCCUCUGGGGCAGACUGGGAAAAAGAUAGUCCAGACCUUUGAGGAGCCUGAGGCUUGGCAGAGAGUUCUGCAGACAGUCUUGUCAGAUGUUUUGGAUAUAUUUAAUGUUGGUUGUUUUGACUAGCACCCAAGUGACACUGAAAGAGAAGACAUCAGUGUUCGGUCUGACUUAUAGGGAAGGGGUUUAUUGAGCGUGGUUGGACAAAAAGUUAUCAGAAAUUGAACAGAACAUCCCAUAGUAGUAGAUUUCAGGUGUACAAUUGAGCUAACUCAUCCAAACAGGACUCAGAUGAACGACAGGCUGUGCUAUCAAAACCUCUGGUAUGAAGCAAUGGAAUAUCCAGAAAAACAAACAUCUUUUACAGUUUUGUAUAAGGUUUUAAGGUUGGACCUCUGACUUUUGAGAGUCUGUUUUUUCUUUUCCAACUCCCCAAAAUAGGUUAUUAAAACCUGGGCCUUCAGAGAAGGGAAAAGUACCAGGUAAGUCCCAGGUGAAUGACAGACUACUUACAGGAUGGGAACAAAACCUGAUGGUAUAAACAAGAAAGAAGGGUCGGAUACAUCAUGCUAAUAUUCACGAGUGUGGCAAGCUAUCAAUGUGCAAAAAGCAAUCACAGACUACUGCUAUACUAAUAAAAGUAACAGGCCUGGAACCA
rnacentral:lncRNA from 1 species